UACGUAGGGUGCAAGCGUUGUCCGGAAUUAUUGGGCGUAAAGAGCUUGUAGGCGGUUUGUCGCGUCUGCUGUGAAAUUUCGGGGCUCAACCCCGAACUUGCAGUGGGUACGGGCAGACUAGAGUGUGGUAGGGGAGACUGGAAUUCCUGGUGUAGCGGUGAAAUGCGCAGACAUCAGGAGGAACACCGAUGGCGAAGGCAGGUCUCUGGGCCACUACUGACGCUGAGAAGCGAAAGCAUGGGGAGCGAACAGG
rnacentral:rRNA from 1 species